UGUUGAGUUGUGGGACACAAGGAUGAUUUUGUUUCAGGGCUUUCCAAGAUCAUUAGCAUACUCUGAAAAUCAGUACGAGGCUGAUAUUUCCAGCUGCCUGUGAGAUUCUGUUGUGUGAGACAUACCCUGAAGAAGUGGUCAGUGUGCCACCAUUUGCACAGCCCAUCCUGUAGCACACAGGUUCAAGAACACAGGUUUGAGGAGUGAAGAGCUGACGAGUGCCCCCAGGCACCCCAAAAUGCCUCUGCCAGGUGUGACCAGAUCUCAGGCAGCAGCCACAGGGACAGGUGGCUCAGUAUAGCUGUUCUCUCAUACAUGCAGGGUUAAACUUGCUUGUCACCAGUUUCACUUUGGACUUGGAAAAUAAUUGCUUUGCUGGUUUGAGGUAAUGUGGACCUUGUGAACUCUUCAUCAAGCUCACUAUUCUAUCUUUGAUAAUAACCAUUCCUGAUGAAACAAGACAGGAUAAGCUCUCGCUGCAAUUUGAUGGUUCGUCCUUGAGCCUUCCUGAACUCAUAUGUUUCCUGUGGCACAAUACAAGUACCUUGGGGGAAUAAAACAGUAACCCUAAACA
rnacentral:lncRNA from 1 species